rnacentral:rRNA from 1 species
UCAUCGUAGGGUUAGUCGGGUCCUAAGUCGAGUCCGAAAGGGGUAGACGAUGGCAAAUAGGUUAAUAUUCCUAUACCAAUUAUAGAGCGCGAUGGGGGGACGCAUAGAGUUAAUCGAGCUAGCUGAUGGAAUAGCUAGUCGAAGGAUGUAGGUUGUAUCUUAGGCAAAUCCGGGAUACAUUCGACCGAGAUCUUACAGGCCCACAACGAUCCUCGGAUCUGCGUGGGAAUCGAUGAUACUGUCGUGCCAAGAAAAGCCUCUAAGUUUAUCUAUAAUUGCCCGUACCGUAAACCGACACAGGUGGGUGGGAUGAGUAUUCUAAGGCGUGUGGAAGAACCCUGGUUAAGGAACUCUGCAAACUAGCACCGUAACUUCGGAAUAAGGUGUGCCCAUAAGGUGAAGCCCCUGCGGGUGGAGCCAGAUUGGGUCGCAGCAAAGAGUCCCUCCCGA